UACAGAGGGGCAAGCGUUAUUCGGAAUUAUUGGGCGUAAAGGGCGCGUAGGCGGCCUGGCAAGUGGAAGGUGAAAUCCCUCGGCUUAACCGAGGAACUGCCUCCAAACUGCUUGGCUUGAGACCGGGAGAGGUGAGUGGAAUUCCCAGUGUAGCGGUGAAAUGCGUAGAUAUUGGGAAGAACACCGGUGGCGAAGGCGGCGCUCUGGACCGAGACUGACGCUGAGGCGCGAAAGCGUGGGGAGCAAACAGG
rnacentral:rRNA from 1 species